rnacentral:rRNA from 1 species
GACAGAGGGUGCAAACGUUGUUCGGAAUUACUGGGCGUAAAGCGCGUGUAGGCGGCAGCGUGUGUCGGGCGUGAAAUCCCACGGCUCAACCGUGGAAGUGCACCCGAAACUGCGCAGCUAGAGUCCUGGAGAGGAAGGUGGAAUACUUGGUGUAGAGGUGAAAUUCGUAGAUAUCAAGUGGAACACCGGUGGCGAAGGCGGCCUUCUGGACAGUGACUGACGCUGAGACGCGAAAGCGUGGGGAGCAAACAGGAUUAGAUACCCCUGUAGUCC